rnacentral:rRNA from 1 species
CAUGUAGGCGGCUCAACAAGUGUCUUGUGAAAUCCCUCGGCUUAACCGAGGAAUUGCUGGGCAAACUGUCGAGCUUGAGGCAGGUAGGGGCGAGUGGAACUCUUGGUGGAGCGGUGGAAUGCGUAGAUAUCAAGAGGAACGCCGGUGGUGAAGACGACUCGCUGGGCCUGUCCUGACGCUGAGGUGCGAAAGCCAGGGGAGCAAACGGGAUUAGAUACCCCGGUAGUCCUGGCCCUAAACGAUGUCUACUAGGUCGGAGUCACUCUGACGUGUUUCUGGCCGAAAUGAAAACGUUAAGUAGACCGCCUGGGGAGUACGGUCGCAAGGCUAAA